AUUGGACGCUGGCGGCAUGCCUUACACAUGCAAGUCGAACGGUAACAGGUCUUCGGAUGCUGACGAGUGGCGAACGGGUGAGUAAUACAUCGGAACGUGCCCAAUCGUGGGGGAUAACGCAGCGAAAGCUGUGCUAAUACCGCAUAAGAUCUACGGAUGAAAGCGGGGGAUCGCAAGACCUCGCGCGAAUGGAGCGGCCGAUGGCAGAUUAGGUAGUUGGCGGGGUAAAAGCCCACCAAGCCGACGAUCUGUAGCUGGUCUGAGAGGACGACCAGCCACACUGGGACUGAGACACGGCCCAGACUCCUACGGGAGGCAGCAGUGGGGAAUAUUGGACAAUGGGCGCAAGCCUGAUCCAGCAAUGCCGCGUGCAGGAAGAAGGCCUUCGGGUUGUAAACUGCUUUUGUACGGAACGAAACGGUCUGGGUUAAUACCCUGGGCUAAUGACGGUACCGUAAGAAUAAGCACCGGCUAACUACGUGCCAGCCGCCGCCGUAA
rnacentral:rRNA from 1 species